AGUGAACGCUGGCGGCAGGCCUAACACAUGCAAGUCGAACGAACCUUUCGGGAUUAGUUGCUGACGGGGGUGGCGAGCGGGGGAACGGGCCGGUAGGUUCCGGAUUACUCAGGUUAGCGUGUGCUAAUGCAGGAUGUGUCCCGCGAGGGCAAGAUUAAUCGCAUUUAGGGAGGCAGGCGUUGGAUUAGCUAGUUGGGUGAGGUAAUGGCGCACUAAGGCGACGAUCAGUAGCUGGUCUGAGCGGAUGAGCAGACACAUUGGGAGUGAGACACAGUGCAAACUCCUACGGGAGGCAGGAGUGGGGAAUCUAGCGAAAUGGGCGAAAGGAUGACGCAGCCAGGCUGCGUGAAUGAUGAAGGUCGUAGGAUAGUAAAAUUCUUUCACCGGCGACGAUAAUGACGGUACCCGGAGAAGAAGCCCCGGCUAACUUCGUG
rnacentral:rRNA from 1 species